rnacentral:rRNA from 2 species
GGACUACUGGGGUAUCUAAUCCUGUUUGAUCCCCACACUUUCGUGCCUCAGCGUCAGUUACUCCUUAGUAAGCUGCCUUCGCUAUCGGUGUUCUGGACGAUCUCUAAGCAUUUCACCGCUACACCGUCCAUUCCGCCUACCUCAUCAGUACUCAAGUCCUGCAGUAUCAAUUGCACCUCGACAGUUAAGCUGCCGUAUUUCACAACUGACUUAUAGGACCGCCUACGCACCCUUUAAACCCAAUAAAUCCGGACAACGCUUGCCACCUACGUAUUACCGCGGCUGCUGGCAC